UCCAAAUGAGGCGCAGCUACACAUGCAGUCGAGCGGAUGAAGAGAGCUUGCUCUCUGAUUCAGCGGCGGACGGGUGAGUAAUGCCUAGGAAUCUGCCUGAUAGUGGGGGACAACGUUUCGAAAGGAACGCUAAUACCGCAUACGUCCUACGGGAGAAAGCAGGGGACCUUCGGGCCUUGCGCUAUCAGAUGAGCCUAGGUCGGAUUAGCUAGUUGGUGAGGUAACGGCUCACCAAGGCGACGAUCCGUAACUGGUCUGAGAGGAUGAUCAGCACACUGGAACUGAGACACGGUCCAGACUCCUACGGGAGGCAGCAGUGGGGAAUAUUGGACAAUGGGCGAAAGCCUGAUCCAGCCAUGCCGCGUGUGUGAAGAAGGUCUCGGAUUGUAAAGCACUUUAAGUUGGGAGGAAGGGCAUUAACCUAAUACGUUAGUGUUUUGACGUUACCGACAGAAUAAGCACCGGCUAACUUCGUGCCAGCAGCCGCGGUAAUACGAAGGGUGCAAGCGUUAAUCGGAAUUACUGGGCGUAAAGCGCGCGUAGGUGGUUUGUUAAGUUGAAUGUGAAAGCCCCGGGCUCAACCUGGGAACUGCAUCCAAAACUGGCAAGCUAGAGUAUGGCAGAGGGUGGUGGAAUUUCCUGUGUAGCGGUGAAAUGCGUAGAUAUAGGAAGGAACACCAGUGGCGAAGGCGACCACCUGG
rnacentral:rRNA from 1 species